AUAGUUUGAUUCUGGCUCAGAACGAACGUUGGCGGUAUGCUUAACACAUGCAAGUCGUACGUGAAAGCUUCCUUCGGGAAGUAAGUAAAGUGGCGCACGGGUGAGUAACACGUGGAUAAUCUGCCCAGUAAUCCGGGAUAACAUCUCGAAAGAGAUGCUAAUACCUGAUAAGCCCACGAUCUCUUCGGAGAACGCGGGAAAAGGUGGGGACCUUCGGGCCUGCCGUUACUGGAUGAGUCCGCGGCCCAUUAGCUAGUUGGUAGGGUAAUGGCCUACCAAGGCUACGAUGGGUAGCUGGUCUGAGAGGAUGAUCAGCCACACUGGAACUGAGACACGGUCCAGACUCCUACGGGAGGCAGCAGUGGGGAAUUUUGCGCAAUGGGCGGAAGCCUGACGCAGCAAUACCGCGUGAGUGAUGAAGGCUCUCGGGUCGUAAAGCUCUGUCAGAGGGGAAGAACCUCCUGUCGCCUAAUACGCGGCAGGCCUGACGGUACCCUCAGAGGAAGCACCGGCUAACUCCGUGCCAGCAGCCGCGGUAAUACGGAGGGUGCAAACGUUGUUCGGAAUUAUUGGGCGUAAAGAGCAUGUAGGCGGUUGUCUAAGUCUGAUGUGAAAGCCCUGGGCUCAACCCAGGAAGUGCAUUGGAUACUGGACAACUUGAGUACGGGAGAGGAAAGUGGAAUUUCGAGUGUAGGGGUGAAAUCCGUAGAUAUUCGAAGGAACACCAGUGGCGAAGGCGGCUUUCUGGACCGA
rnacentral:rRNA from 1 species